rnacentral:rRNA from 1 species
UAAUACGUAGGUGGCAAGCGUUGUCCGGAGUUAUUGGGCGUAAAGCGCGCGCAGGUGGUUCCUUAAGUCUGAUGUGAAAGCCCACGGCUCAACCGUGGAGGGUCAUUGGAAACUGGGGAACUUGAGUGCAGAAGAGGAAAGUGGAAUUCCAAGUGUAGCGAUGAAAUGCGUAGAGAUUUGGAGGAACACCAGUGGCGAAGGCGACUUUCUGGUCUGUAACUGACACUGAGGCGCGAAAGCGUGGGGAGCAAACAGGAUUAGAUACCCUGGUAGUCCACGCCGUAAACGAUGAGUGCUAAGUGUUAGAGGGUUUCCGCCCUUUAGUGCUGCAGCUAACGCAUUAAGCACUCCGCCUGGGGAGUACGGCCGCAAGGCUGAAACUCAAAGGAAUUGACGG